GACAGAGGCCUCAAGCGUUAGGCGGAAUCACUGGGCUUAAAGCGUGUGUAGGCGGAUCGUUAAGUGCCUUGUGAAAUCCCACGGCUUAACUGUGGAACGGCUGGGCAUACUGGCGGUCGUUGAGCCAUCUAGGGGCGACUGGAACAAACGGUGGAGCGGUGAAAUGCGUAGAUAUCGUUUGGAACGCCAAUGGUGAAAACAGGUCGCUGGGGGAUGAGCUGACGCUGAGACACGAAAGCCAGGGGAGCAAACGGG
rnacentral:rRNA from 1 species